rnacentral:rRNA from 1 species
AUUGAACGCUGGCGGCAGGCCUAACACAUGCAAGUCGAGCGAGCGGCGGACGGGUGAGUAAUGUAUGGGAAACUGCCUGAUGGAGGGGGAUAACUACUGGAAACGGUAGAUAAUACCGCAUACCAUCAGAUGUGACAAGAUGGGAUUAGCUAGUAGGUGGGGUAACGGCUCACAUAGGCGACGAUCCCUAGCUGGUAUGAGAGGAGGACCAGCCACACUGGAACUGAGACACGGUCCAGACUCCUACGGGAGGCAGCAGUGGGGAAUAUUGCACAAUGGGCGCAAGCCUGAUGCAGCCAUGCCGCGUGUGUGAAGAAGGCCUUCGGUUUUUACAGCACUUUCAGCGGGUAGGCGUUACCCGCAGAAGAAGCACCGGCUAACUCCGUGCCAGCAGCCGCGGUAAUAC